AUUGAACGCUGGCGGCAGGCCUAACACAUGCAAGUCGAACGGUAACAGGAAGCAGCUUGCUGCUUUGCUGACGAGUGGCGGACGGGUGAGUAAUGUCCGGGAAACUGCCUGAUGGAGGGGGAUAACUACUGGAAACGGUAGCUAAUACCGCAUAACGUCGCAAGACCAAAGAGGGGGACCUUCGGGCCUCUUGCCAUCGGAUGUGCCCAGAUGGGAUUAGCUAGUAGGUGGGGUAACGGCUCACCUAGGCGACGAUCCCUAGCUGGUCUGAGAGGAUGACCAGCCACACUGGAACUGAGACACGGUCCAGACUCCUACGGGAGGCAGCAGUGGGGAAUAUUGCACAAUGGGCGCAAGCCUGAUGCAGCCAUGCCGCGUGUAUGAAGAAGGCCUUCGGGUUGUAAAGUACUUUCAGCGGGGAGGAAGGGAGUAAAGUUAAUACCUUUGCUCAUUGACGUUACCCGCAGAAGAAGCACCGGCUAACUCCGUG
rnacentral:rRNA from 1 species